rnacentral:rRNA from 1 species
UACGUAGGGUGCAAGCGUUAAUCGGAAUUACUGGGCGGAAAGCGUGCGCAGGCGGUUUUGUAAGUCUGUCGUGAAAUCCCCGGGCUCAACCUGGGAAUGGCGAUGGAUACUGGGCAGCUAGAGUGUGUCAGAGGAUGGUGGAAUUCCCGGUGUAGCGGUGAAAUGCGUAGAGAUCGGGAGGAACAUCAGUGGCGAAGGCGGCCAUCUGGGACAACACUGACGCUGAAGCACGAAAGCGUGGGGAGCAAACAGG